UACAGAGGUCUCAAGCGUUGUUCGGAUUCAUUGGGCGUAAAGGGUGCGUAGGCGGCGCGGUAAGUCGGGGUGUGAAAUCUUGGAGCUUAACUCCGAAACUGCAUUCGAUACUGCCGUGCUUGAGGACUGGAGAGGAGACUGGAAUUUACGGUGUAGCGGUGAAAUGCGUAGAUAUCGUGAGGAAGACCAGUGGCGAAGGCGGGUCUCUGGGACGUACUCGAGCGUGAGGAG
rnacentral:rRNA from 1 species